rnacentral:rRNA from 1 species
UACGUAGGGUGCAAGCGUUGUCCGGAAUUAUUGGGCGUAAAGAGCUCGUAGGCGGUCCGUUAAGUCGGAAGUGAAAUCUCAAGGCUCAACCUUGAAAUCGCUUUCGAUACUGGCGGACUUGAGGCAGGUAGGGGAAGGUGGAAUUCCUGGUGUAGCGGUGAAAUGCGCAGAUAUCAGGAGGAACACCGGUGGCGAAGGCGGCCUUCUGGGCCUGUUCUGACGCUGAGGAGCGAAAGCGUGGGGAGCAAACAGG